rnacentral:rRNA from 1 species
CCUACGGGAGGCAGCAGUAGGGAAUUUUCGUCAAUGGGCGCAAGCCUGAACGAGCGAUGCCGCGUGAGUGAAGAAGGCCUUCGGGUCGUAAAGCUCUGUUGCGGGGGAAAAAAGGCAGCAUCAGGAAAUGGGUGCUGACUGAUGGUGCCCCGCCAGAAAGUCACGGCUAACUACGUGCCAGCAGCCGCGGUAAUACGUAGGUGGCGAGCGUUAUCCGGAAGGAUUGGGCGUAAAGGGUGCGCAGGCGGUCCUGCAAGUCUGGAGUGAAACGCAUGAGCUCAACUCAUGCAUGGCUUUGGAAACUGGAGGACUGGAGAGCAGGAGAGGGCGGGGGAACUCCAUGUGUAGCGGUAAAAUGCGUAGAUAUAUGGAAGAACACCAGUGGCGAAGGCGGCCGCCUGGCCUGUUGCUGACGCUGAGGCACGAAAGCGUGGGGAGCAAAUAGGAUUAGAUACCCCAGUAGUC